UGAAUCGAAAAAAGUGAUAUAUGUUUUAUUCUUCGAUUUUUUGCAAUUUCUUUUGAUGUUUGUGCUGUACAACGAUCACGAAUAUGAAUGUUUUGCAAACAGGCAAUAAAAAAAGAAUUUAUUUGAAAAUAAGUAAAUUUUUUCGCAAAAAGAAGAUGAAUGAAAUAUGUCAUGAUCAGGGUGGGUAUCCAAUUCUCAAUAAAAUCCAAAAAGCGAAGCUUGGAAAAUCAUUAUUAUUUGACAUACGAUAUAUAAUCGUAUCACUAAUAUUAAUGGUACGAUUAUGUAUUUUAUAAGAAUUAAUAUAAGAAUUGGCUGUGAAUUUUUUGUAGAUUGAAAUUUUAUUA